rnacentral:sRNA from 1 species
ACAGAGGCAAGAAGAGGGCAUUGCAUCCCUUGUAACAGGAUAAAAAAAGGGCUAUUUGGAAAUCAAACCUGGAUCCUUGAGUUUUUGCCAGAGCCCUAUCUCCAACCCCCACAGGGAAGUUUUGUACUUUUCUGCUCCUUGGCUGCAUCUUAUGAGUAAAUCAAGAACAAUAAUCUGAAUUAUCUUACAGAAAGCCGUCUGUUGUAAAGUCAUGAAGCAACUGAGGCCCUUGGGACUUGGUCACCUUUCACUUUGUAUCAGUGACCCGCACAAACCUACUGGACUAAAUGACUAACAUGUCUUUUAUAACUGCGGAGAAUCCCAUAAGUUAUGUGCUUACCCAGUUCACCUUUAUAUGGAUCCACUACAUUUAAAUAGUCCAGUCGAAACAAAUGAAAGAGUAAGGUUUUUCAGAGUUGUGAAAAAUUAAACGUGGUACAUGGAAUGAUAGCAGAGACUGGAGAAAAUAGGAUAGUUAAUUAUCUGUCACUAUGACAACAUUCCCAAGUGAAUCAACUUAAAGGACUUAUUUUGCUUAAUGCUUUCUGUCCAUAUUUGCUUGGCACAAUAACUUUUGUAUUUUUACUGAAGUAUUCAAUUAUGGCAGUAGUACAUUGUAGAAGAAAGCUGCACAUCUUACAAUGGCCAAGAAAAAAGGAGUGAGGAAGAUGACCUGGGGAGAAUAGAUAGGGUCUCAAAAGCUCCAACCUACAAGUGACUCUUCUUUACUGAGGCCCUGUCUCUUAAAGUUGCUACUCCACAACAUUAAUACUAAGAGGUGGAGCCACAGCCUUGUACGCAUGAGCAGUCAUGGGUGGGGCAUUAUAGAUGAAACAACAGGUUUCUGUGACUAACACAGGGGCAGCAUAAACACUUUCAGCCAUUGCAAAGUAGGGAAUGGGUAAGGAAGAUGCAGAUGAGUUCAGAUCCUCCCUCUGGAGCUAUAAUAACUGAAUCUACUGAACUACAAGGACAAGAGACGGCUUAAUAGGAGAAAAAAUAUAUGCUUUAGUUAACUAGUACAUAUUCAUGGGAGCCUUGUAACAGUAGAAAUUCAACAAUAGGCAGAUGGUUAAGGCUUAAAUAAACCGUGUAAAGGUGGAGAGAGAACCUGGGGAUAGUAAGCAGGCACUUUACAGUGAUUAGAAUUAAUUUGUUAGGAGAAAUGAGCAGCUUGAAAUGUAGGCCUGUGACAAAGUGCCUGAGAACUAGAGGUGUUCUAUUUUCAAUUGUUGUGUUCUAUUUUCAGUUUCUUCCUCUGUGAUGGGAGUUGAGUCUAUUUUGAAUCUACCGUGAGUCAGAGGAUGGAGAGAAUCAUGUUCCUGUCUGACAGGGUCACAACUGAAAGAGUUUGCCUUGAGCCUCAGAUGAGACUUUGGAUUUAGGCAUUUGAGUGAAGUCGAAAUGAGUUCAGAUGUUGGGCACAUCGAUGAGGAAUGUAUAUAAAAUGUGUUUGGAGAAGAACAUGAACACUGGUAGUCAAGAUGGAACAAUGAAGUUUAUACUCAGCAGUGUUUCUCAAGCUUCCAAUGCUGGACACAUUUAAUACAAUUUUCAUUGUUGGGCUGACCCCUAACCAUAAUUGCUACUUCAUAACUGUAAAUUUGCCACUGUUAUGAAUCAUAAUAUAAAUCUCUGAUAUGUAGGAUAUCAGAUAUGGGAUGCCCCACCAAGGAGCUACAACCCACAGGUUGAGAACCACUAUUACUCAGUAACAUAAAUCCUUGCAAAAGAUUCAUCUACCGGAAGUGUGGGUCUCAGUCUAAGGAUGAAAGGUGGAAGAACCAUUAAGAGGUCUGACCUAAUAAAAGGGAGAUACCACCUCAGAAGUAACGGAUUCAUCCGGUAAGUUGUCAUCAACAGAGACGGGUCUACAUGCUUGGCCUCUUCUACAGAAGGCCUUUAAUCAUUUUAAUUCAUUACUAUGUUAUAACAGAGUAAUUGCCCUUAACAGAUUUACACUUUUCUUUAUAAAGUACCCAGCCUUAAUGGUUUUGAAACAGAAAACAACUAAUUAAAAUGUAUAUUUGUAGUAAAUGUGAAAAGAACAUGAUAAUUCAUAGCAGAAAAAACUGGAUUCCCCAUAGACAUUAUUUCAGAAGGCCAUUAUUGAUUUUAUUAUUAUCGUUCCUCUCAUUUAGCAGGAGAGUGAACCAAGGUUGUGCAGAGGGAAUAUGGUCCGCUACAAGACACUCAUAGAUCUGCUAUGACUGAACCCCAUGCCCUUCCUACCCCUAUCUCAACUCUGAUGGGCUUCUGUCAAUCUGAAUAGGAAAUGCUCCAUGCUCCAUUGCUGGGUCAGAGUGUUCCAGUCUCCCUCAUCCCUGACUGGUCAAUUCUAUUCAAAGUUUGUUUUCCAUUUUGCCUCCUUUACUUUCCCAAUAAGAAAUAUAUAAAACAAAAGCUUGGGACGGAAAUACUGACAGUCUUAUCAAAAGUUCUAUUAAAUUGUUUUAUCACAAUUACAUAUUGCCAAGUUUUUGCUUUCUCACCAUUAAUCUUUUUCACCAUUCAUUUUGUUCAUUUGUGGAGGAGCACAGCAGCCAGGCAACGCUCUACAGAGAUUCCAAAGGCAGGAGGAUGGUCUCCAUGGGAACCAAGGGGGACUUUUCAGAAGAAAUGAGGGUUGACUGUUAUGUUACUUAAGGAAAAGGGGGUUAAGUCUUGGCAUCCCAGCCACAAAAUUCAUAUACAUAUAAGAUUCUCUUUUCCUCCAUACCUAUGCCCUGCCUCAAAGAAAGGAAGAAAGGAAAAAGAAAGAAAGAAAGAAAGAAAGAAAGAAAGGAAGAAAGGAAGGAAGGAAGA